AAUAACCUUGCAUAUGAUGAUAGUUUUCUGAACAAUUCCAAUCUCUGUGUGAAAAAUCCAAUCAUAAACCUUCCAAAAUGUCCCUCAAGAUUCCGCAACUCCGACAAAAUUUCUUCCAAACACCUUGCGUUGAAUUUAGUUCUUGCCAUCCUUGUUCUUCUUGUCACUGUAUCAUUGUCCUGGUUUGUGGUUAGAGACUGUCUUACGAGAAAGCGAAAUCGCGACCUUGCAACAUGGAAGCUGACCUCAUUCCACCAAUUGGGUUUCACAGAAUCAAACAUUUUGUCAAGUUUGACAGAAAGUAAUUUGAUCGGAAGUGGAGGCUCAGGGCAAGUAUACCGGAUUAAUAUCAACGGUGCGGGUGAAUUUGUUGCUGUGAAGAGGAUAUGGAACAACAGGAAGUUGGAUCAGAAGUUGGAGAAAGAGUUUAUAGCUGAAAUUGAAAUACUGGGCACUAUUCGGCAUUCCAAUAUAGUCAAGUUGUGGUGCUGUAUUUCAAGUGAGAACUCAAAGCUUCUUGUAUACGAGUAUAUGGAAAACCAAAGUCUGGAUAGAUGGCUUCAUGGGAGGAAGAGAAGCUUAGUAUCAGGAUCAAGUUCUGUCCACCAUCAUGUUCUUCAUUGGCCAACAAGGCUUCAGAUUGCCAUUGGAGCUGCACAAGGGCUGUGCUAUAUGCACCAUGACUGCACUCCCCAGAUAAUUCAUCGAGACGUAAAGUCUAGCAAUAUCUUAUUGGACUCUGAAUUCAAGGCGAAAAUUGCAGAUGUUGGUCUGGCCAAGAUGUUGGCUAAGCAAGGAGAGCCUCACACAAUGUCUGCAGUUGCAGGCUCUUUCGGUUACUUUGCCCCAGGUAACAAAUACUCAAGAACUUCAUAUUUUUUAUAACUUUCAAUAUCAAAAGCUGUUUUCAGAUUAUAACAUCCCUUCAACACAUCUCUCUUAUUUGCAUUGCAGAGUAUGCCUAUACAACAAAAAUGAAUGAAAAGAUAGAUAUAUAUAGCUUUGGAGUGGUACUGUUAGAAUUGGUGACAGGAAAAGAAGCUAACUAUGGUGACGAGCACACUAGUCUUGCUGAGUGGGCGUGGCGACACUAUGCAGAGGAGAAUCCUAUCACUGAUGCAUUAGAUAAAGAGAUUGCGGAACCGUGUUACUUGGAAGAAAUGACCACUGUAUAUAGACUAGCACUCAUCUGUACAAGCACUUUACCAUCUUCCAGGCCUUCCAUGAAAGAGGUUUUGCAGAUUCUUCGUCGAUGUUGUCCGACAGAAAAUUACGGAGGGAAAAAGAUGGUUAGCGACGUUGAUUCUGCUCCACUUCUUGGUACUGCUAGUUAUCUCUUCAGUUUCAAGCGUAGUAAGAAGGUGGCAGCGGAAGAGGAUAAUGGCCUGGCGUAAAUUGUCGGAUGCAUCAUAAAUUAUGAAAUGGCUAGUAGGGGUUCCAUUGUGCGUGGGUUAAGUACAUUUUUGUAGGUGGAAAAUGCUAAGUAUCAAGAAAAACGAGAGAAUGACGAGAGAACGAAGCAUGUGGUGGGAGGAGAGAAAGAGAAAAAAAAUUGACAGCGGAGAGAGAGAAGAGUCAAUUCUCUCGUCCUUCUCUCGUUGUUCUUGAUAUUUAACAGCACUCUUUGUAGGUAAUGUUUGUAUAGUUUCUUAAUUCAAGUCCUCGUAAUAUUUCUCCCCGUUCACUCUCACACGUGCCCAGUACUUAGCAAUUUGUUAAUUGUCAUGCCAUUACACGAGUCGUACAGCUUAUGUUGCACAAUAUGUUUCAUACUUUCAUUAAAAUCAGAUGACGAACGAAUUAGAUAUUUAGGUCCUCAACUCAAAACAUUGUUCAUUGUGGGGGCAAAAAUAUUUUAAAGUGUUUUUCUCUUACAAAAUAUGAGUGGACUAGAGAUAUCCCUCGUUAGUGAGGGAUGUCUCUAUAAUCAAACAUCCCUCUUCUGUGAGGGUUAUUUGUUAUGUAUAUCUGAUUGUAAAUAUCUGUGUAAUAUAAUAAUACGAUGUGCAAUCAAUAUUAAAAAAAAUAAUGAAAUUUGUGUUCAAAUAAAUUAAAAGUUAUUGAAAAAAAGGCAAUGGAAUUUCUAACCGUAUUUCUAUCGUUUUGGGACAGAUAGAUUGAAGGAAGAAACUACAUUACAAAGAAGCAAGUAUACAUAAGCACAAACGGUUGUCAUUGUAAAACCUAAAAAGGUACAGAAUUCAAACCCUCACAACCCAACAUUACGGGUCCGCUUAUAAUACAGCGGUUGUAUCUCAUACAACCGUUUUUCUUAUUUUAUUAAUACAACCAAUAACCGGCCACUGGUACUCUCAUUUUAAUUGCUUAAAAGAGGCAAAUAUUAAAUGGUAACUAUCAUAUCGCUCCCUCAUUUUAGGUAAAUAUUACGAUAAUCAAUCUAAAAUUAGAAAACUAUCAAAGACCCCCUCAACUUAAAAAAAGAAAAUACUACUUUUUCUUUUAAUUCAUGAAAAAAUAGUUAAUAUAUUUAACUUAUGUACUAAUAAAAAUAUAAUUAAGUAAAAUUAAUAGAUUAAUAUAUUUAAACAAAAAUAAUUAUUUUAUUUUAUUAAUAUUACGUUAUAAAUUUAAUGAUAUUUUACUUUAAAAAUGUAACUUAAGUACUAAUAAGAAUAAUAUUUUAAUAUAAAAAAUUACAAUAAAUUAUAUAUUAAUUAAAAAAUAAAUUAUAUAUCAAUUAAACUAUUUUUAAUUACUUUAUAAAUGUAAUGAUGUUUUGCUUAAAAAACUAUCAAAACAACUUUAUCAACUUUUAAUCACAUUAAAAUCCAAGUAUCUAAACAUAUAAUAAAAACGAUUCAUUCCUAAAUAUUUGGAAGAAAUCAAUCUCAAUAUCCCACAAACCACAAUACACAUAUAAGGACUUAAAUCCCUACCUACGAAAAUGAUUGUAAUGUUUAUCCAACUAUCGAAUAAUUAUUAUACCAAACAUCAUACUUACCCCUCAAAUGUUGUUGUUGUUGUUAUUAUUAGUGGCUAAUAUUAAUAUGUUCUUUGUAUACCCUCUAAAAAAAAAUCAUAUAUUAGACAAAUAUAAAGCAUCUAAUAUUUGAUAUUUUUAAAUAAAACUCACAAACAAUCUCUUAUGCAAAUUAAUUCAUACAAAAUUAUGUCAAAUUAUUUACUUUAUUUAAUUUUUUUUGGUAUAGUAAUUUGUUUUUGCUAAACAUUAAUCAAAUUUAUAAUGGUACAUAAUAUGGAUAAUUACAAAUUGAAUGCAACUAAUAUUGAAUAAUGUUAUAUUAAAUUAUUUUUACAGUUGUAUACUUUAAGCAUGACAAUUACAUUUCUAAAUUAAAUCAAAUUAUUUGAGUAAUACUACACUCACUUGAUGAUUCAUGAUUUGUAUACUGAAUAGUGUGCAAUUAUCACAAAAUUAGUUAAAUCUUACAUUUAUAUCUAUAUUUUUUUAAAUUAAGUUAAUUUAUAUAACAACUAAAAAUAUAAAAUUAUGUAAAAAUAUUAACAAGCUUAAAUUUUAUAUCUAUAUUUUUUAAAGUAAAUUAAAUUAAAUUAUAUUUUUGGUGAAACAAUAAGUACUUAGGUUUCAUUUAGGUGGGUAAAACUACCGCCAAGAUAAAAAGCAAUUUUGUUUUAAUACCGCAUACAUUUACAAUUUUUUAAUUUUUUCCCCAAAUUUUGAUUCAAAAUAUAAAUACCUCUCAUUCUUCCAUUGUUAGAAACCCUAGCCGCUCAACUCAAAGAUAUCAUUGGCCGCCAUUGUAGACGCUCAACAAAAAGAAAAACAAGCGGCCGCCAUGAGUUUUUACUCCUAAAUUUUGUAAAUCUCGCUCUUACCUUCUGUCUUUAUCACUACAGUCCCUAGAUCCCUCAUCUUUUCACCUUCGUUAAUCUCCCAAAAUCAAUCAAUAAAAAAGUUGGCUUCUUUCGAACAUUUACAGUUCAAGGUAAAUGAGCAAGGUUUGAAAUUGUAUUCAAAAUCUAUGCUUAAGCAUUUCGCAUAAAAAAUUUAUAAAUUCAGUUCCCUUUUCUUGAACUCAUCUUAUUAGGAUUUAGAUAUUAACUGUAAUUAUUUUUUUAUGUAUUUUGAAUUAUCAAUUAGAGUUUUCAAUGCCAUUUUUUUUUCUUGCAUGUUUUAUGGUUCCAUUCUAGAUGGAUUGGCAAGGGAGAAAAUUGACGGACGAUCUGAUGCAAACAAUGAUUUUGGCAUCCUCUCAAGUGGUUGGAUCCAAGUCCAAGUGAGGCUGAUGAGUGAUGAGUAGCCUAAGCUUGAGCUUAGUGUCACCAAUUCAAAGAAAAUCUGCUAAGAAUAUAAUUAAGGUAAUUUUUAUAGGUAAUAAUAAAGGUAACUUAUUAACUGAUAUUAUUAGGGUAAUUUGGUCAUUUUUUAUUUGAUGAAAUAGAUGAACUAUGCCUUUAUUGAAAGAAAUAUAAAAAUUAUGGUCCAAAUGUUUAGAUAGUUGAAAUUAAAGAAAAAAUUGCAUCUGAAUUAUGGAGGUCGACAAAAAAUUUAUAUGAUAAUAUAUGUGUGUAUAUAUGUGUAUAUAACUUGUGAAAUUCAGUAAUGAAAUCCGAUUAGAUAGCAUGAAUUUCUUUACUUCUGAAGAAUUCAUAAAAUUAAGGUCACAUGUAUUCUGCUUCUUUCUGUUUGUUUCCUAAUGUAAAUGCAAGUAAAUGCAGGUAUAAUGCUGAUUUCUACAAUAAUUUUAUUUCUUUUUAAUGUUUCAUGCCAGAAACAUUAAAAAAAGGCUAAAAAAGACAUUGAUUUGAGUUUUUUUUCUCUGUUGUGAUAUCAAUAUUCCUACCAUUUACAAUGCUUUGAUAAUUUGUAAUCUAAUUAUUUUUAAGUACUUUGUCUACCCAAAUAUAGUGUUUGGGAAUUCUGACAAAUCAUAAGAAUUGUGGGAACUACAAUAAAUAAACAAACAAAUAAAAAAAUGAACGAGGUUUGUAUUUUGAAUGUAUUUUACUUACAAGAACAAAUCUAAUGUAGACAUUUUUUAGGUGCUUAAUUUCUAUUGCAUUUUGUAAGUUUUUCAUAUUAGAUGCUAUUUUCAUGAUAUAUAUUGUUCAUGCAAUCAUGGAUCAGUAGUCCUGAAAAGUUUUGAUCUUGUUAAUUCUAGAUGUAUUCUCCUCUUUCAAAGCAACAAAUGAAUUUCAAGUUUCUUGAAUUGCUGUGAUGUUUUGAUUUCAUCGCAUGAAUUUUGUGGUUUCGCAGUCACUAUAUUACUAUUAUAUGUUAUGCAAAGGUGAUGAUGGGAAUUAUGAGUUUGGAUUAGUCAACUUGCUCGUCAGCUGAGUACCACAAUCCAGUUCUGUAUGACAAAUAAGCUUCUUUUGGCAAAUUAUUCUUGAACAAUAAAUAGGUAAAGAGAAAUUAGUUUUUGAAGAGCUAUUUUAUGAAUUCUUUUAUAUUUGCUUAAUUUUGGUAGUAACCUUUGUGUAGGUGUUUUGUUAACUAAUAUAAUGAAGGUAGUUUAUUAACAGACAUUAUUAGGGUAAUUUGGUCAUGUUUUUACUUCUGAAGAAUUCUUAAAAUUAAAAUCUCGUGUUAUUUUUUUUUCAUUUGUUUCCUAAACUGAAUGCUGCUGUAAUACUGAUUUCUAUAGCGGUUUUAUUUCAUUCAAUUGUUUCAUGCUAGACAAAUGAAAGAAAAAGCUAAAAAUUAUAUUGAUUUGAGUUUUCCCCCUGCUGUAGUAUUGAUAUUACUACCAUUUUAAAUGCUAUGGUAAUUAGUAAUCUAGAUAUUUUAUGUGCUCUGGCUACUUGAACUGAUUGUUUUGGGUAUGCUGAAAAAUUAUAAAAAUUAUGAAAAUUACAAUAAAUAUACAAUCAAAUUGAAAUAAAUAAGGUUUAGAUUUUGAAUGCAUUUUACUUACAAGAAAAAAUCUAUAUGCUGAUGAAUAUUUGACAGUUAUUUUUAGGUGCUUAGUUUCUUUUCAUUUUGUAAGUUAUUCAUAUUAGAUGCUAUUCGAUGAUUUAUAUUAUUCAUGGAAUCAAUUUGUUCUUGUUUAUUGUAGAUACAUUCUCCUCGUUAUCUUCCAAAGAUACAUUAUCGUUAAAUUAAAGUUGACAUAAAAAUUGCAUAGAACAAGUAUGCUAGUCCGGGAAUAAUUUUAUGUUUUAAUAUUGCUGUUAAAAAUUUUAAAAAUAUAUAUAUUGUUGGAAAUUAGUAUAUCGUUUUGUGUUUAGUUUGCGUUAGAGUUUUCUUUUUUGGUUGAAAAUAAAAUUUAUUUGGUCCUACCCAAGAAUUUAGGACAUGCAUUUGAAAUUUUGAAUAUUAUUUAUUUUUCCCAGCCUUGUUUUCUAUUAUCAUUUAUUUGUUAUUAUUGUUAUUAUUAUUAUUAUUAUUAUUUUGUAUGCAGGGACCCUUGAAAUAUAGUAGCAUUUGAACUCUAGUUUUUGGAAGCUGUAAAUUGAUCUAGUUCUGUAUUGGUUUUAUUUUCCCAAAGCUUGUAAAAAAUUCUUGUAAACCUGUGUAGAUGAAUGGAAAUUUUGAUUUGGUUCAUUUUUUAGUGCGUUGGAUAAAUUAAACGUGCUUAAUUCAUAAUCAUAAAUGUUAUUACUGUGCUAUUAGAUUUUUAUAAUGUCAUAUAUUGGUCGUAAUAAACAUUGAAAAAUUAUUUUAAUUAAGCCCUGAAAAAUUGAAGAAUUUAUUUUGUAAGUAAAAAAUUGUAUGUAUAUUUAAAAGAGAAUGAUAGUCAAUUAUAGAAAAAAAAAAGUGUUGUUAGCAAAAUUACAAUUUCCUAAAUGAUAAAUGAGCAUCAAUGCGAACAAAGGUCAAAAUCUCAAGUAUGGAUGAUUAAAUUCAGGACUACAUUUUCUAAAGUUAUUUCAAACUGAAAAAAAAGAUAUUUCAACACUUCAAGUUCCAUAGAAUGAGUAUGCUAGUCGAGAAUUUUUUUUUUAUAUUUUGAAUAUUGUUGUUAAAAAAUCAUCAAAAAAAUAUGUUGUUAAAAAUUAGAAUAUAGUUUUGUGUUAUUUUAUAUUUAAGUUUCAAUUUUUUUUGUUCAAAACAAUAGAUAUCUGAUCCUACCUAAGAAUUUGGAUCAUGUUGUGCAAAUUUUAAUGUACUCGCAAGCGCACGAAUCUAUUGUAAUGUAGAUCAAUGGUGACGAGUGUCGAUCCCACGAGGAGGAGGAUUUUAAUUGUGUAUAGAAUUAAUUUUGCAAAAUGGGUGGUUGGAAUUGUGGUGGAAGUGAUUUAAAUUAUCCUAAAAUUGGAAUUGAAAUUGCGAUAAUAAAUUCUAAAAUUGGAAUUACAAUGGCGAGAAUAAGUUCUAAAAUUGGUAUUGAAAUGACGAGAAUAAAUUGAAGAGAAUUCUAUUGAAAUGAUGUACUUGGGUAUCUGGAUCCGUAUCAACAUGCAUCAUGGGCUAAAUAUUCCUUAUUAAUGCCAAUUAAAUCAUGAGGGGGGAAUCUACACCUCAUGAACCACGCUCUAAUCAAUAUGGUGCUAAGGGCUUAUCGUGCCAAAUAAUAAUAACCUUAUACUAGAGAGCCGGUGUAACCAAGGCGGUAUCUAGACAAGAUCAGUAUUAUUUGUCGACGAUAAGUCAAAUCAUCCACAAAAACUAGAGGGGAAAAGAAAAUAAAUUUACCAAAUAAAGCCCAUGACACAUGUUGAGACUUCACCUUCAACCCAAGCUUGAAAGGAAAUUAGCUACUCAUAAUUGAACUAGGGGCAAAAUGGAAAUUUAUUAAAAUACAAAGAAAAUACAAAAUGGAAGGAAUUACAGAAAAUGGAUCCCAAAAAUGGAUUCAGAGAUAUCAAAUUAGGGGGGGGAGGCCCCCUUUUUAUAGAUACAUGGAGUAAAUCAUGGCCAUCGGAUUAAAAACAGUUUGGACGCUCAGGAUUGCGCCACGUCAUCAGUCAACAAUCCACGGUUUGACCACGCGGAUGAACAGUAACACGGUUUGACCCGGAUGAACAGUAACACAGUUUGGUUGAAAAUAAUCCUGUGUGAUGCAUGUACCGUACGCGAGAUUUUUCAUCCACUGAUAUGCUGCCACGUCACCAUCAACAGUACAUAAGAAUUUUAGCCCAACAGGAUCGUGACACCUCAUCAGUCAAUGCCACAUCAUCGGUCAAUGCCACAUCAUCGAUCCGUCUAUGUGAACAGUGUUGUGAACAGUAACGUAGUUAGUACCGUACACGUGAAUAGUACCGUACAUGUGAAUAGUGCCAUUUUUCCUUUUAUGCUCCUCCUAAGGUUUUCGACCGUCUUGAGUUCAAAAGUGAUGUCCGUUUUGCCGUCUGAUCUCUCCUUUAUUGUGAAAUGACUAUAAUGCCCCUAAAAUACAUAAAAUACUUAAUUAAAAUAAAACACAUGUAAUUAAAUCACAAGAAGGUUAAAUACAUAAAAGUAAGGGUUGUUAGUAAGACUUGAAAUGUAAAAUGACGGUUUUCUCCUUUAUAAAUAUGCAUUUUCUAACACUCAACAGAUCAUACCUUUGAAAUUUGAAUAUUUUUGUUAUUUUUUUGCAGCCUUUUUUUCUAAUUUCAUUUGGUUUUUGUAUUUUUUAUGCAGAGACCCAUGAAAUCUAAAUCUCAAAUUAUUAGCAUUUGAUUUAGCUUUUGGAAGCUGUGAAUUGAUUUAAUUUUGUAAUAGUUUUAUUGAUAUUAAUAGUUUUUAAAGAGUUAUUUUCUCACAAGUUUGUAAAAAAAUUUCUGAACAAAAGUGGUUUUAGGCUCGACUCUUUUUGCAAUUUUAACUUUUCAAUAAGCCUCACAUUAGGUUACUAUUGUAAGUAACUGCUUAAGUGAUCGAAGUUCUCAUUCUUGUAAUGAAACUCUUGAUUUGAGUAAUUUUUAAGUGCAUCGGAUAAAUUAGUAGGACGUUAUAAUUUUAUUUGCAAAUAAAUGUCAAUAAAUUUAUGAGUAAAAAAGACCAUUUGAAAAAGAUAAAUUAAUUAAACAUGCAAAAUCAUAUUACUAUAAUGUUAGAUUUUCAUCGUACCAUAUUGUUGGGCAUAACAAAUUUCUGAAAAUUAUAUUGAAGAACUUAUUUUAUAAGUCGAAAAUUAUAUACAUAUUUAAAAAUGAAAAGGAAGAAUACUCAUUGUAAGAAAAAAUUUUGUUAAAAAAUCUCAUGAUUGUAGUAAUAAUAAUUGUAGUAAUAGUUUAAAAAAACAAAUAAUAAUAAUAGUGGUAAUAAUACAAGUAUAAUAUAAUAAUAUUUAUAAUUAAUAACAUAAAUAUUUUGUUGAAGUAGUUGGAAAUUACUAAAACUAAUUUGAAAAGAAAAUAGUAGUAAAAAUUUAAUUCGAAUUAAAAAAAAUCUUAAUUCUUGAUUUAUUUUAGUUUAAAGAUAAAUAAAUAUGGUUAAUUGAAUGAUAAAAUGGGCAUAACAUUUACAAAAAUCAAAAUUUAAGUAUAAAUAAAUUCAAGUUCAAGAAAUCUUAUCAAUUCAAUUGAUCCCCCCAAAAAGAGAAAAAAGAUAAUUCAACACAAAUAAAUUAAGAAAAUUUCAACUUUUGUAAGUUUAAACUUUUUUUUAUAAUUUAUGCUGUCAAAACUUUUAAAAAUUAAAUUUUUUUUUUUGAAAAACACAGCAAUUGCACGCACCUUUAUAUAUACUUUUAAUCUACUGUCAAAGUUUUGAAAAAUUAAAGAAAUUAUUUAAAGAGUAAAGAGAAAGCUGAAAAUGAAUGCAUUAAUUUACUUGAUAACUAAAAACAAUUAAUUAAAAUGAUAAAAUGAGAAUAAAUAUGUAUAAAGAUUACUCGCUCAAGUAUAUAUAUAUAUAUAUAUAGACACACCCACACACAAUCAAAUUCAAGUGAAGAAAAUAGAAAAAAAAAUGGACUUAAAUUAUAGACAAAAUAUUAGAAAAGAUUAAGGGUUGUAAUAAAGAUUUUUUAGUACUAUAUAGUAAGUUGAUAUUUACUAAAAUAGUAAGGGGUUAAACAUAAUUCACCUUAUUAAUAUUAUUGUUAUUGGUAAUACGAGUACAUUGACUAUUUAACCCAAUAAUUGGAAUAUUGCCAAGUUAAUGGGAAGGUUCAAACCAAAAUGAGUAGAAUAAUAGUUGAAACAAAUAGACCCAUAGGGGAGAAAGUAUAAUCAAAAUUAGAGAUUUACCUAACCAAAAAUAAAAUUAUGAAAAAUAAAUUUGGUACCUAACCGGAAUAAUUGGAGUCUUACCAAAUUAAUGGGAAUAUUCAACACAAAGUUAGAGUAACAAUUAGUUGACACACAUGAACCAAUAAGAGAGAAAGUGCAACGGAAAUUAGGAACUCAUCAAACGGAAAAUGAAAGUUACUUGGAACAUAACCCAAAAUUUUGGCAUUUAACGAAUUUAGUAGGAAUAUCAAACGUAAAAUCGGUGGAAUAAUAAAUUGAAAUAUAUUAACCUAUAAAUGAAAAAAUUUAACCAAAAUCAGGAACUAAUCUAACUAAAAAAAAUAAUUUGGGUAUUUAACCCAAACAACCGGAAUCUUACCAAGUUAAUUGGAAUAUUAAACGCAAAAUCAGUGAAAUAAUAGUUGAAAUAUAUAGACCCAUAAGGGAGAAAAUAUAACCAAAACUAGGGACUUAUCUAACCAAAAAUAAAAUUAUGAAAAAUAAAUUUGGUACCUAACCGAAAUAAUUAGAGUCUUACCAAAUUAAUAGGAAUAUUCAACACAAAAUUAGAGUAACAAUUAGUUGAAACACAUGAACUAAUAAGAGAGAAAGUGCAAUGAAAAUUAGGAACUCAUCCAACGGAAAAUGAAAGUUACUUGGAACAUAACCCAAAAUUUUGGCAUUUAACGAAUUUAGUAGGAAUAUCAAACGUAAAAUCGGUGGAGUAAUAAAUUGAAACAUAUGAACCUAUAAAUGAAAAAACUUAAUCAUAAUCAAGAACUAAUCUAACCAAAAAAAAAUAAUUUGGGUAUUUAACCCAAACAACCGGAAUCUUACUAAGUUAAUUGGAAUAUUAAACGCAAAAUCAGUGCAAUAAUAGUUGAAAUAUAUGGACCCAUAAGGGAGAAAGUAUAACCAAAAUUAGGAACUUACCUAACCAAAAAUAAAAUUAUGAAAAAUAAAUAUGGUACCUAACCGGAAUAAUUGGAAUCUUACCAAAUUAAUGGGAAUAUUUAACACAAAAUUAGAGUAACAAUUAGUUGAAACACAUGAAUCAAUAAGAGAGAAAGUGCAAUGAAAAUUGGGAAUUCAUCCAACGGAAAAUGAAAGUUACUUGGAACAUAACCCAAAAUUUUGGCAUUUAACGAAUUUAGUAGGAAUAUCAAAUGUAAAAUCGGUGGAAUAAUCAAUUGAAACAUAUGAACCUAUAAAUGAAAAAACUUAACCAAAAUCAUAAACUAAUCUAACCAAAAAUAAUAAUUUGGGUAUUUAACCCAAACAACCGGAAUCUUACCAAGUUAAUUGGAAUAUUAAACGCAAAAUCAGUGGAAUAAUAGUUGAAACAUAUAAACCAAAAGGGGAGAAAGAAUAACCAAAUUUAGGAUCUUUUUUAACGAGAAACGAAUCUACUUGGAAUUUAAUCUAAAAUAUUCGUAUCUAACGAAUUUAAUAGGAAUAUUAAACACAAAACUAGUGAAUUGGAAAGUAGAAACAAAUGAACCUAUUAGUGAGAAAGUUUAACCAAAAUUAGGGACAUGUGAAAUUAACUUGAAACAUCAACCUAAUAUAUUGAUAUUUAACCAAAAGUGUUGGGACAUGAUUAUUUUACCUUUUUUUUAAACUUUCAUUUAGAUUAAAAAUAUUUUUCUCACUCAAAUAUUUUUUAAGUUAAAUGUUUAUAAAUUUCCUUAAUUUUUUUCAGUUUAUUUUAUUUUUUCUGCAUUAAAAAUGAUUUUUUUUUUAAAUUAUUGAAAGAACAACCGGUAAAAUACCGGUUGUUCAAGUGGAAAAAGUAGGUUGUGUGUCAUACAGUGCUGUACUAUAUGAAGACUCCAACAUUACAUCUGACUGGCUCUUGUCAUAACUUUUUAUGUCAACUCAACACAUAAAGUAUUUAUUUUAUAGGAAAAAAUCUUAGGUGCCCUUGAAAUAUUACUUCUUAACCAUUCAUUAUUAUUUUUAUAUAUGUUUCAAGUAAUUAUAAGAAUUUGUAUAUAUAUAUGACAAAUAGUGAAUGGUUAGAAAGUAAGAGCACAAAACGCCUUCUCAUUUUAUGGAUAAAAAUUAUAAGAGUGGUGACUUGGCAUACCUCCAAUAACCCCUUAAAAUCCCGCUUAUUCUUGUUUACAAUUUUACCCAAAUUAAAAUUACUCCACACCCACACCCAUAUACGACAAAAAUGAAAAAAAAAUAUAUCAAUAUUAGCAGCCAAAAGAGACAAAUAUAAACCUUCAAAAUUUCAGCGACGAAGGAUUACGUGAAGGCAGAGAAUAUGCAAGCAAAGCAAGUAAUGUCUCAGAAAGCUGGAAGACCACUGACACUGUAGAGCCGAUGUAAACCUUACAAAAUAUGAUUUUCUUUGAUAUAAAUAAUCUUAAAGAUGAAAAAGCUCUUAAAUCAUCAAUCAAUCAAACUUUAAAAUUUUCCUUUUUGGACUUAAAAGUUAUGAGAAGUUGAGCAAAUAGACAAAUUAUGAUCAAAAUAAUUAACCCAAUAAAAAUCUAGCUAUUGGAUUAUUUAUAUGAUGGACAGUUAUCAAAAAGAGAAAUAUAAAAAAAAAAAUCUGUUUAAAUAAGUUUAAGAAGGAAUUAUGAUAUUGUAAAAAAACUGUGAAAAGAAAAUAAGAAAGAGAUCAUGAACGGGUUGUUUAGGAGAAAGAGUAGUAAAUAGUAAGGAUAUUUCUGAAAUGAAAUAGGGUAAAAAAAAAUUAUAUGAUGAUUUAAAUUAUUUAAUAUGGUGUAUUUAAAGUAAGUAUGGGCGACAAUAAUCCAAUUCAAAUUAUAAAUAUGAAAUAUGAUAAAUGAACAAAAAGAUGAUAAAACCAUGACAUAAUCAUUUGUCUUUUUAUAAAUCUUUGAAAUUUUUUUUAAUGAUUUUAAAUUUUUCUUUAUUAAAUACUCCUCAAAAUUGACUAAAAGACAAAAAAUUUCGCAUUGUUUUGUUAUGAAGAGGGGCUAUUUGAAUUCAUCAAACAUGAAUGACACGAACUUCUCGCGUGUGGAAAAUGACGUGAUUAAUCUCUAUCACCCACCAAACAUAUGAUUUCUUAUAAAAUUUUCCAAGGAGAGAAAAUCAAAAGUGCAUGUACCAAAUCUAAGGGAUAAUUUUUCACGAUGUUAGGUGCUCACCCGGUUUUCAUUCUCAUCUGUUCACCUUCUACGGAGACAAAACCCCUUUGCUUUGUUGACUCCUACAAUCAUUUACAUACCAGUUUUCGGAGAAAACACCUACAAUUUAGCAAGCGUGCGGCGUUUUAAAAUUCAACUACAUUCUUCUUCCCAAAAAAUGAAAUCAACUAUUUUUUUUUUUAUCUUCAAGGGUAGCCAUUCGGAAGAUUGCAUUGUUGUUUGUUCACUCAAAUUUUUAUAAAAUUAUAUUUAUAUUCUUUAUAUCAUGUUCAUGGAUGUCGGAUAUUUGCAUAAAUAUUAAAUUCCUGUUUGUUUAAUGCGUCUAAAGUAAUAAUAAAUAAUUUUUGUUUGACCAUAUUAUUAACGUAGAAUGGUUGCGUAGGUUACGUAUGGUACUUUUUUGAGGUCGUAACUUAAAUUACAUGUGUUUAUUUUAGACGUCUAAUAUAUUAUUUUGAAAAUUACAACGAGAUCAAUCAAAUCUAGAACAAUUAAUGUUGUUUUGCCUUGUGAACAAGUCGAAAAGCUCUACUUUUUUUAGUUAUUUUUUAAUGUUAAGUUAUUUUCUUAUUUUUCUUAUUAUUUUUAAGAUUUUUAUUUUUUUUCCUAAAUAUUAGAUUUGCGUACUCUCUGUUUUUGUUUUUCUUAUUUAGAUUAAGAAAAUUUUAUUAUAAAAUAAUAUUUUUAGAUUUCUUAUUUUAGUAAAUUCGUAAAAUUUAAUAUUAGUAUAAAAAGGACUCAAAAUCUUAGUUUUAUUCAUUCAAAACUUUUCCAAUUAAAUAUUCAUUAUUAUAAACUUAAUUUCUCUAAUAUUUUAAUCUUUUACGUUUCUACAUCAUCAAUUACUAUUUUUUUUCUUUAGUUUUCACCGCAAUAUACCAAACAAAACAGAAAAAUGAAUAUAGAAAGUGAAAUUAGAUUACGAUCGAGCCACCUACCACUUUUUUUAUAAGUCGCAAAUUUAAUGGUGGACCUAAAACCCUUAACUUAGGUUAGCCUAUAGGUUAGAACAUUAGCCUAUAGGUUAGAACAAUAUUUUAUAUUAAUCAGAAUUUCACCUUCAACUUAGUUAUAUUUUAUAUUAUGAAUUGCUUUAACUUAUGUUAUUUUUCAAUUUAGACUUUCAAAUGUUGGGGAACCAUGCAUUAGCCCGGUGAUAAAUAACUUUCGACUAUUUCAUGUGUAUUUGUGAAUUCUACCCUCCCUGAAUUCAAUUUUUCUAAGUCCAUACUUAUAAUAUGGCUCUUAAUAAAUAUAAGAGGUUUGUGUAUAUCUCUAAUGGUGAAUAUCAAUAAAUUUAUUAUAUUCAUAUACAGACAAUGUAAUUUUCAUCAAUCCUUUAUAAUAUUACCAGAAACAAUAUCAUUAUUUUAUUCGAAACCCUCCGAAUCUAACCUUGCCAAAUCGUCAAGCUUCGAGUAAGCUAUAGUAUUAAUUAGUAGUUCGACCGGUUGAAUUCACACAUGACAUCGAAAUAACACACACACACACACACGUGUCUCAUACAUGGGUCAUUAUUCUAGAUAUGAAAGCAUAUUUUGUAGUUAUUGUCUUCUUAAACAAUUAUUGAUUUGGGACAUAUCUAUGAGAUAACAAAUUAAAUUUCUUCAAAUAAGGCUGCUUUUACGUUUCUACUUCUUUUAUUCUUUCUCAAAAUCUUCCGUCAAUUAUGUGAGACUAGUAAAAGCAAGGAAAGAUCAUUGAGCCUCGCUUUCUUGUCUGGUAUAUUAAUUAAUUAAAUGAAUUAUAUUAAAAAAAAAAAAAGCUCUUUGUGGUAAACAUACUAUCCCACUAAACAACAGAUUCUUUAUCUUUAAAAAAAUAAUUAAUUAUCACGGGAGCAAAUCAAAGAGUGAUACAUUAUUUAUCGCACCAAUUGAGAUAUAAAUUAAGUAUUUCAACUAUUAUAAAAUAGAAAAUUACAAAGUCUUUUGUGUUGGGCACCAUCAGUUAAAAAUAAAGUUGAAUUUUGAUAUUACGUUACAAAUUCACUAAUAGUUAUUAUAAAAAACUUGUCAUAUUGUCAUUCUUUUUUUUUUUAAAUAUUAGCAAAAAAAAAAAAUUAUCUCCUACAUGCACACAAAAGCACUCGAACACUUUUGGCGCAUUAAUUUAACAAACCAAAGUCCAAAGGAAAUACCCAGUCCCCAUAUACGAUUAAGAGGUACAUUAAAGGAAUCAAUGAAUAUGUUGAAAUUCAUAGAAGAGUUACUAGACUAGUUUUCAUGGACUAGUCAAUUGUCUAGAAAAAUUCUCUUUAGUGCACUUUAAAUCUCUAGUGUAUAUUUUGUUUCUGGAAGCAAAUUGAAAAUUGGACACAAAGCACUGGGCCAGUUAGAUAGGCAAACGACCAUUAAACACAAUAGAUUACUAUUCUUCAUGAUCCAGAAGGAAUUGACAGGUGCUGUUAUUCCAGGAAAAAGAAAAUGAGAAAACAAUUAAUCAAUUAUGGACCUUGUCUAUGGUACAGAUUCUGUAACAAACAUUUCCCGUCAUCCCACCAUCCGAUUGUCUAUUGUUUAGUUUCUCACUCCACAUCCAACCACAUCCAACGGCUGAUGCUGCAGUCUGUAGCUUACAGAUUCUGUAAGCUAGUCAAGUCCAUCAAUUAUUAGUGGUAGAAAUUUCGUAUCACUUGCCAAGUUGCCAUGAGCUAAUGUGACCGCAUCGAUAAUGACAAUAUUAAGUCUACGUCAGUGCCCCCUAUCUUUGCUUAUUAUGGUUACACAUAAAAUACAAAUCAAAGCCAAUAUUACAAAGUAAAUUUGUAAACUUAUCUCAUAGAAGUAUUAUUCUACAUUUUAGCAUAAUCUAAACUUUAUAGCUGCAAGUUUCGAUAAUUUUACACAAUAUUGUCAUAUAAGCAAAAUAUGCCAUAAUAAAGAUCUUUACAUAAUAAAUUAUCAUAACCUUUUAUGUCAACUCAACACAUAAAGAUUUAUUUUAUGGAAAAUGAUGUUCUCACAAAUUUGCGCACAAAGGUUUGCACAAAACGGUGCGUUUUGUGCAACCUUUAAAAGGCUCUUCGUACGUGCACAACAACACACACGCUCUUCCCAGCUCGUCCCACUCGCGUCUGCCUCCUUUCACUGCAACAAAAACCCAGCAGCUUAUCCCGUCUCCACGCACAGUUAGUCUAACCUCCGUUCUCCCUCAUUCUCUCGACGUCAUUCUCCCUCACUCUCUCGGCUCUAUGCUUCCUCAUUCGCUAGACGCCAUUCUCCCUCGCUCUCGGCUCUGUACUCCCUCAUUCUCGCUGGAUCUGUUUUGCCACACUCUCUCGGCUCUGAUCACCCUCAUUCUCGGUGGCUCCAUUCUCUCUCACUGUCUUGGUUCCGAUCUGCCUCAAUCUCUCCCUCAAUCUCUCGAUCUCAGUUUCAUCACUCUCUCUCCCCCAACACAACCGAAUUAACGGAGCUUGUUAAGGUUAGUGUUCAAUUUAUUGCUUUAAUUUGUAAUUAAUUGAAAAUUAAUUAUUUUGCCCCAUUUUGGCCACUUGGAUUUUGAAUGGUUAUUGUUGAGGGUAUAUUGAUUUUGGGUUGUAUUGAUAUUAGCUUUGGAUUUUGAACAAAUUGAUUUAUUUUUCCUAUUUCGGCUGUUGGUUAUUGUUAUUUAGGAAUUCAUUUUGAUUUUGCUUGGCAAGUAUUGUUACUAACUGUUGUGGCUAUACUAACUGUUGUGGCUGUUAGUUCUCGGGCAAGUAUUGUUACUAACUGUUGUGGCAGCAAAUUUGAGACAUGAUGUCAUGCAGUAAAGUAGGCAUUACUUUAUACUCCACGAAUUUCUCAGCAUGCUGCCUUUCUUCUUCUCUGGAAUCCUUGAAAAAUCUAUAAGUAAUUGAUGAAUUAUUGUGUACAAUUUGAUUGACAAACAUUAUUAGAGAGAUAUUAAGUUUGCAGGAGAUAGUUGGCAAAAACCUUGAGAGCAACAUUGUUGUGGCUGUUUUUUCUUUUGGAAUUGAUUAGUAGCUGGUGUGUCCUAUAUUGUUUCCUUGUCCAGUUGCUUAAUGCUCACUAACUAUUACGGCUUUUUUUUUCUCUUUUUCAGUUGCUUAAAUUGGUUGGAUAUUUCUAUCAUAAUGUCCUCUAGCAUGAGUGAAGUUCCAAAUCCACAUAUGAAAACUUGUGAAAAGUGCUGCAAUGAUAAGAUCUUACGAACUUCGCGCACAAGAGAGAAUCUGAAUCAUAAGUUUUGGAAGUGCAAAGGAUGUGGGGCAUUUGAAUGGGACGAUGAUCGGAAGAACAAUGAAUAUACUGUGUGUCGAGGGGUGGAAGAUCGAAAUAUGAGCGAGAUUAAAAUUGAUCUCUUACUAGGAGAAGUGCGCAAGCUGGGGCAUCAAAUGGAAUGCUUGUCUCUUAAAUUUGAAUUGCUUGAAAGAGAACUUCAACGAAGUUCGUAACCAAGUGUUAUUGUAAAAUAUGUCCCACAAAUAAUUAUAUGUAUUUUAAUAUGUAUUGUAUUUAAAUUCUAUAUUCAACUAAUGUAUUAACUUCUCUUAUUUGCAAUGAAAAUUACGUUUAUGGUUGAAAUAUUAUAUUCUGUUAUUUGUAACUUUGCAUUAAAUCGUUCUCUUAAUUUUUGAAAGUGUUACCAUCGAUGGAUCCGGGCGAUUGCAUAUCAUCAUAGGGUGGAAAAACUAACCCAGAUGAGAAGUUCACUCACUCUUAAUUGCAGAUGACCAAUUCCGUUUCAAAUAUCACUACAAUUAUCAUAAAAAUAUUGGCUAUUGGAUUCAAAAGCUAAUCACAAACUAGCAAAGAGAAGAUAUUAGAUACAAAUCUUCCAUGUGUCUGUCAGAUGAAAGUGUGAUUGAGAGACAAAAUCAUCCUCAACCAGCAUCCAUCCCAUCAAGAAAACCACAGCUAUAAAAAAUAACGCAUCAUCAGAUAAUUGAAAAGACCAAAAGCAUAUGAAUAAAGAAUCACCUCAUGAAAAAAAAAAUUCAGCUAAAAAAUAUAUACACAAAUAACUGCUUUCACCGCAAAAUAUAGUAACUUUCAGCUCAAAUAAAACAGAGAGCUAAAAAUGUUAAUACUAGUCAACUAAACAUGCUGAAAUUAUAUAUAUAUAUAAAAAGAAUAGAAAGAAACAUGCUGAAAUUAAUACUAGUCAACUAAAAAUGAAAAAGAAGAUGCACAAAUAUGUCCCCUGUUUUUUAGAAUCUAAUUUAAUGGCUGCCACUAUUUUAAUGAAAAUUACACAUUUAUGCUCAGUCAAACAUAUAAUUCUCCAUAAUUAAAACACAAGUAUAAAAGCAAACAUAUGAUUCUCCAUAAUUAAAACACAAGUAUAAUAGCAAACAUAUGAUUCUCCAAAAACACAAGUAUAAUGUUAUUUUCCAAAUCACAUUGAAACUCCGAAUUAACUCCAUAUUCAUUAGCUUGCUGAAAGAGUAACUGCUGAAAAUGUCCAUGCUGCAGGAGUUGUGGGUGCUGGUAUAAAAAUUCAAACAUUAUGUUAUAAUAAGAAAUACAAUAGAUAAAAUAAAUGAAAAAAGUAUAUAUAUAUAUGGUGAACAACUUACAUUAUAGUAGUUCGCAAUUCCAUAUGGGUAUAUAUUCGUAUGAAUAUCACUUCCUCCAACAUUUUGAAGUGUCUACAUAAGAUCCACAAUAAAACUAUUAAGUUAUGUACGGAUUAAGUUAUGAAAAUUAAGAAAAAUGAUAAGAAUACGGCCUCACUUACCGCUGCAAUAUUGCUUCCUUGUGAAAUUACAACAGACACUUGAGAAGAUAAUAUAUUGUCUGCAUGUCCAUCCUGCAAAGUCAACAAAAAAAUCAUUUAAGCACCAUUUAUGUAAUAAAUUAUUUUAAUUAAUUAAUGGUAAAACUAACCUCUGCAUCCGAACGUGUUGAAUUCUUUUUAGGUUUGGUAGACCUUGUUGACUUUGUCCUUUGACAAGGUAGACGACCUUUCCGACGCCUCACUUCUGGAUCACGUACUCCCUCAGUUGCAUUUGUUGAAAUUCCCAUGCUGUUACUAUAACUUCCUUGACCUAAAAAUCCAGCGUUGUUACCUCCGCAUUGAAUUGGCUCUGGUAGAUCUUUCCGUACAUCCUCAAUCCAAUUCAAAACAAGAUUAGAAGUCUCAAAAUUUCUUGCAGCCACGUUUGCAACUUCUGCAAACCUAACACACAUUUUCUCAUACCGCUUUUGCUCAUCUGUGCAACCGUGCAACUCAUGACUCGUUUUGACCCUACUAUGGCAUCUCCACACAUCUUUUCUCCAUCUUCGUAGAAUGUACUUUUCUGGAAGUACUUUCGAGUCAUUGCGUAUCAUGAUGUAAAUGGCAUGUCUGCACAGAAUUCCUCUAAAUUGGAACAUUGAACAGCUGCAACUGAUCUCACCAUUAUCUUUUUCAAAAUGUACUUAAAAAAAAAUUCUUUUCUUAAACUCUCCAAUUUUAACAUCUUCUCUGACUAUAUGUUCACAACCCAUUGAAUUGACGAAUUCGCAAUACAUCUUCGCAGUCAACUCUUUCUGAAACUCCUGAAACUUUGAAAUGGUGUACACAUCUCAAACUUGCCUCUCCAUCUCGUAAGAUGUUACGCAUGGCAUUUGUUAUGAAAGACACAUGGCAUCUUCUUCGACUUCUUUUUGAACUUUACUCUUUAAUGCAUUACUGUACUGCUCUACAAACUGCUUCAAUGCAGUUUUUGAGUUAACAUAACCAUCAAAAAACGCAUUCAUGCUCUCACUUCGUUGAGUAGUUGACAUUCCAGCCCAAAAACUAUCCUUCAGGUAACAUGAUACCCAAUGAUAUCUCUCAUUAUACAAGCCCUGUAGCCAAUCAUUACCACCCAAAUCAUAUUCUACAAUCAUGCGGUGCCAGAUUUCCUCGAACUUUGCAGGGCUCUGUGAAUCAUAAACAGCACAAUGCAACAUAUCGCUAAUUUCAUGAUAUUAUUUAUAGCCCCCUAGCUUAUCUAGAAUCUUCUUAAGUAUAUGCCACAAACACCACCGAUGUCGAGUAUUAGGAAAGACAGCAGCAAUUGUAAUUUUCAUGGCCUUGUCUUGGUCUGUAAUAAUUCCAAUGGGAGCGGAAUUGGACAUGCAUGCUAGCCACGUUCGAAAUAACCAAGUGAAUGUCUCAACAUCCUUAUGUGAAAUCAAUCCACAUCCAAACAAAAUAGAAUGAUCAUGAUGAUUUGCUCCCACAAAUUGAGCAAAUGGCAUGUCAUACUUAUUUGUAAGGUAUGUUGUGUCAAAAGUAACAACAUCUCCAAACUCUUUGUAUGCUUCCCUAUUCCUUGACUCAACCCAAAAUAUAUUUUUCAAUAGACCCUCAUCAUCCACUUGCAUGCUAUAAAAAAACCUAUUGUCUUCUGAUUGCACUCUCAUAAAAUAGUUUUGAAGAGUAGCAGCAUCUCCAUCCCCAAGUCGUAGUCGUCUUUCUUUCUGUAUAUGAUUUCUACAAUCUCUUUCUGUGAAUGUCACAUUUUCAUGGCCACCAGCCUUAAUAACAAGUGAUUGAUAAUUUUGGGACAAUCUAAUCCUUGCUCUAUCAUUUACAUCAAGCUUCUUUUUUGCAUAUGAACUAAAGCUGCGAUUGCAUCGAAAAAAUUUAGACUUGGUUGGAGUCAACAAUGUAUGGUUGUGUUCAAUAUUUAAAACUUGAAUCUUCCAUUUUCCGUAUUCCUCUAAUCCUCCUCCCAAUUUAGCAUUGCAACCUAUUUUUGCAUUAGGUUGGGGCCUUAACGAAUUACUAGAUUUGCUUCUUGUUGCACCACUCCGCCCACAAACAUAAGUCACAUGUCGUAUCAUCCCAUCAAUGCCCUUACUAUUACUUCUCCGCAUAACUGGAAACCCUUUUCUUUUACCAUAUUCUCUGUAAGAACUAUACAUUUCAAUCUCACUAUCGAAUGACAUCUCAAUCAUUGGCUAAUCAUCUUGUAAGUUGUCCUCCUCAAUUUCCUCAAACUCUUCAACUUCAAUGCUUUUUUCCAUAAUUCUUUAUUCGUACAAAAUGAAUAUAUUUCAUAUUAAUCAACUGAAUAUAUUUCACAUUACUCAUGAUAAGAACAAAUUUCGAACAAAAUUCAGAUAAUCAUAAUCAACACAAUCAACAUUAAUCGGCAAUUGCAAUAUAUGCUCUGUAAAAUUUAAAUAGAACAAAUAAAGAACUAAACAGAACCUAAUUGCUCAAAGGCUCACAAAAUUGGGAAAAUAUGACAAAAAAUAAGGUUCCACGUUAGGCUAGGUGAAGUACCCGAAAUUGGGCAAAAUAAUUAAUCUUCAAUUAAUUAUAAAUUAAAGCAAUAAAUUGAACACUAAUCUUAAGAAGCUCUGUUAAUUCGGUUGUGUUGGGGGAGAGAGAGUGAUGCAGCUGAGAUCGAGAGAUUGAGGGAGAUCGAUGCCGAGAGAGGGAGGGAGAAUGAAGCCACCAGGAAUGACAGAAAACCGAGCUGAGAGAGUGAGGACGGUGCCGAGAUAAUGAGGGAGAACGAAGCUGUUGCUGUGUGGAGAACAAAGCUGCUGGGUUUUUGUUGCAGUGAAAGGAGACAGACGCGAGUGGGAAAAUGAUGCUGUGAAUUGGCGUGCGUGUGUCUUGUUUGGUGCACGUACGAAGAGCCUUUUAAAGGUUGCACAAAACACACCGUUUUGUGCAAACCUUUGUGCGCAAAUUUGUGAGAAUAUCGCUACUGUUAUUUUAUGGGAAAAAAUCUUAGGUGCCCUUGAAAUAUUACUUCUUAACCAUUCAUUAUUUUUUUUAUAUAUGUUUCAACUAAUUAUAAGAAUUUGUAUAUAUAUAUGACAAAUAGUGAAUGGUUAAAAAGUAAGAGCACAAAACGCCUUCUCAUUUUAUGGAUAAAAAUUAUAAGAGUGGUGACUUCGCACACCUCCAAUAACCCCUUAAAAUCCCGCUUAUUCUUGUUUACAAUUUUACCCAAAUUAAAAUUACUCCACACCCACACCCAUAUACGACAAAAAUGAAAAAAAAAAUAUAUCAGUAUUAGCAGCCAAAAGAGACAAAUAUAAACCUUCAAAAUUUCAGCGACGAAGGAUUACGUGAAGGCAGAGAAUAUGCAAGCAAAGCAAGUAAUGUCUCAGAAAGCUGGAAGACCACUGACACUGUAGAGCCGAUGUAAACCUUACAAAAUAUGAUUUUCUUUGAUAUAAAUAAUCUUAAAGAUGAAAAAGCUCUUAAAUCAUCAAUCAAUCAAACUUUAAAAUUUUCCUUUUUGGACUUAAAAGUUAUGAGAAGUUGAGCAAAUAGACAAAUUAUGAUCAAAAUAAUUAACCCAAUAAAAAUCUAGCUAUUGGAUUAUUUAUAUGAUGGACAGUUAUCAAAAAGAGAAAUAUAAAAAAAAAAUCUGUUUAAAUAAGUUUAAGAAGGAAUUAUGAUAUUGUAAAAAAACUGUGAAAAGAAAAUACGAAAGAGAUCAUGAACGAGUUGUUUAGGAGAAAGAGUAGUAAAUAGUAAGGAUAUUUCUGAAAUGAAAUAGGGUAAAAAAAAAUUAUAUGAUGAUUUAAAUUAUUUAAUAUGGUGUAUUUAAAGUAAGUAUGGGUACCAACAAAGUGUUGGCUCCACUGGCAAUGGAGUCCCCUUAAGUGGCUUGACUGGGUUUGCUUCCCAGUUCGAGUCGCAGGGAAGUCGCCUUUGUUGGGAGAACCUGUGCCUCCCGGUUCGAGCAGGGACUUCUAGUCUGGGUUGUGGUACGAGCUUAAAGUUACUUCCCACAGUUGGGGCCCUCCCUAGGAUACCUCGUGGUUAAGACAAAAAAAAAAAAAGUAAGUAUGGGUGACAAUAAUCAAAUUUAAAUUAUAAAUAUGAAAAAUGAUAAAUGAACAAAAAGAUGACAAAACCAUGACAAAAUCAUUUGUCUUUUUAUAAAUCUUCGAAAUUUCCUUAAAUAUUUUAAAAUUUUCUUUAUUAAAUAGUCCUCAAAAUUGACUAAAAGACAAAAAAAAAUAUCAUCUUUUGUUAUAGGGUGAGACUAUUUGAAUCCACCAAAUUCCUCUUACUCCUAUUUUAAAAAAUAAAUUCAUUAUUAAAGUUGAAAAUUUAAAAAUUUAAAAAUUACCCUUCACUAAUCAUUUUCUCUCUCUACCUUACAAUUAUAUAUUCUCUUCCUAUUCUUGCAUUCUGCAAAAUAAACAUCUAAUUUCACUCCUUUUUAAAUUCUUUUUUUUAAUUUCUUCGUAUAUCAUGACCUAUAUUUUAUUCUUUCUAUAUCUAAGAUUUUUUUUAAUCAUUAUAUUCAUUAGAUUUUGUGUUUGGUAAAAAUUAAUUUCUUGGUAUUCAAUAAUUUCAUGGCUAAUAAAAAUUUAUUGAUGUUCAUUUUUCAAUGGUGAUUUUGUUCCUUGUAGUGAAUGAAAUUACUUACAGUUAAAAUGAUAUAUUUAAACAAAUUGUUGAAAAUUUAUGAAAUUAAAAAGAGAAAGAGAAGAAAGGAUUACUCAAGUAAAUUUUUUAAAAUAUUUAAAUAAUAAAAUUCUUAAUUUAAAAAGAGUUAAAAUAAUCUCAAAUGAUUAUGUUCAUUUACCCUUUGCUCUAUAAUAUUUACUGUAUUGGAUCAGGGCCCGAUAGCCCAUAAUUAGCUCUUCUGCUAAUUUUUUUUUUUUAUAUGAUCUAAUCGUUUUUUUUUCAAUUAUAUAUGAUCUAAUUGUUGGUUGUUAAAUAAUCGGAUGGUCUCUUGAGAAUUUAUUCCAUAUCCCUGUGCAUUUUGGAGCAGCGAACUGUCAAGGUAAAUAAGCAAAUGGUCAAGCAAGUCUUAGUGCAGUGGUCUAACGCCACACUUGAUGAAGUUACAUGUAGAGAUGGCAAUUUAACCCGGACCCGGCCCGAAUCCGGACGAACCCGGAUAAUCCGGUCCGGGUUGAACCCGUACCGGAUUAAAAAUAAAUUUGGAUCCGGAUGUGAUUUUGCCAACCCAGACUUUUCUGGGUCCGGUUCCAGGUUCCUAUAAACCCGCAUAUGCGGAACCCGAACCCGGAUGUCCUUAUUUUAACAUUAUAUUUAAAUUAUUUUUUUAAUAUAAAAAGGGAAAAAAAAAGCCAAUGCCCUAGUUCACACUUUCACUUCACAGCCGCCCAAUUCAUUCUUCUCCUAUCUCUUCACCUUUUUCUCUUCUUUUCUCUUCUCUUCUCUUCAUCAAGUCAUCCUUUUCGUCUCUCUUCAGUUCUUCUCUUCAUCAAAUCAUCAUUGUCACUCGUCAUCACUUCGCAUCGUUGUGUUCCCGCUCAUCAUCAUCAUCAGCCUCCGUUUGGCAGCCAUUUGUCCAUCGCGAUCUUGGUUUUGGCUGUCGUUCAUCCGCCUUUUGCGAAUAACACUCGCGGCUGUGACGUGUUCAUCAUCAUCAUAUCAUCAACAGCCACUGUUCGUUGCUUUACCAGACGCCGAUUGUUGAAGUUUGUGAACUAAAUCCGUGAAUCGCGACUGUGACGUGAAUUGUAGACAUGGAAUUGUAUUUUGUGAAUGUUAUAUCAUAGAUCUGGAUUUAUAAAUGGUUUAUUGCUUUGUAUUUGAUUUGGGUAGAAUCUGGUUUUGUAAAUUUGUGAAGUGAAUUUGAUUUUUUUUUUUUAUUUGUAUGUCAUCCGGGUUGAAAACCCGCAAUCCAGAAACCCAGAUUUUUCCGGGUUUAACCCGUACCGGACCCGGUGUCAUUAAAACUGGGUUUAAAUCCGGGUCCGGUACAAUAUUUUAGUGUUUGGGUCCGAACCCGGACCCGGUUUUUGCCAUCCCUAGUUACAUGGGAGAAUUGGGAACCUUUCCACGCCACUUUUCCUCAGUUUAGCCUUGAGAACAAGGCUCUUUUCCAUGGGGAUGGUAAUGAUACAACCACUGCACAGCUAAUUUCUCAAGCUAGGCUCAAGAGAUACCCCAAAAUUCCCUUCAAGCUUCAAGAUUUUGUUCGUGAAUGAUGGUGCAACCGAUUACAGCACUUAGAUAUUCUUAAGAUAUUGUGCUGAAUUUUUUAUUUGCUUAUUAUUGCAAUUCUGUUUUGCUGUGCUGUCAAGUUUGUUAAAGAGAAUAUUCUUAGCUAUUUUUAGAAUUUUUCUGUAGCUCUCUUGAAGGAGUAUUUAAAGAAAUGAAUGAAUAAGAAAAUUAUAGCUCCCUUAAAUCCAAAAUACAAUUCCUCUGUUUUCUCUUAUCUUUACUCUUUACUCUUUCUAAUUCUGGAGGACUCCACCCUCUAAAGUGGAAGCUAAAAUUCCAGAACUUGCUGCUGCUACCUUUCUUACCCAUCAGCGGAUGUAAAUAUUUUUCUUCGAUAUAAAUAAUCUCAAAUAUAUAUAAACUCUUAAAUCAUCAAUCAAUCAAACUUUAAAAUUUUCGUUUUUGGAGUUAAAAGCCAUGAGAAGUUGAGGAAAUAGACAAAUUAUGAUAAAAAUUAUUAACCCCAAAAAGAAAAAAGCUCAAGCAAUUGGAUUAUUUAUAUGAUGGACAAUUAUCAAAAAGAGAAAUAUAAAGAGAGUUCUGUUAAAUAGUUUUAAGAAGGAAUUGUGAUAUUGAAAAAAAAAAAAAAACUGCCAAAGGAAAUUAAGAAAGAGAUCGCUAAUGGGGUUUGUUUAGGAGAAAGAGUAGUAAGGAUAUUUAUGAAAUAAAAUAGGGUAUCAAAAAAAAAUUGUAUGAUGAUGUAAAUUAUUUAAUAUGUUGUAUUUAAAAUAAGGGUGCCAAUAAUCCAAUUCAAAUUAUAAAUAUGAAAUAUGAUAAAUGAACAAAAAGAUGACAAAACCAUGACAUAAUCAUUUGUCUUUUUAUAAAUCUUUGAAAUUUUCUUUAAUGAUUUUAAAUUUUUCUUUAUUAAAUAAUCCUCAAAAUUGACUAAAAGACAAAAAAAAUCGCAUUGUUUUGUUAUGAGGUGGGGCUAUUUGAAUUCAUCAAAUUCCACUCUACACCCAUUUUAAAAAAUAAUUUCAUUAUAAAAAAUUUAAGAUUUAAAAAUCUCAAAAUUACUUUUCACUAAUCACUUUUUUCUCUACCUUACAAUUACAUAUUCUCUCUCAACUCUUGUAUUCUACGAACUAAACACCCAAUUUCAGUCUUUUUUAAAUUUUUUUGCAUUUCUUAAUAUAUCACGACCUAUAUUUCAUUCUUUCUAUAUAUAAGAAAAUUUUUAUCAUGAUAUUAAUCAAUUUUUGUAUUUAGCAAAAAUUAAUUUCUUGAUAUUCAACACCUUUAUGGCAGAUGAAAAUUUUCGAUGCUCAUUUUUCAAUGGUGAUUUUGUUUCUUUUAGCUAAUGAUACUAAUUAUUUGCAAUUAAAAGGAUAUAUCUGAAUAAAUUAAUGAAAAUUUGUGAAACUAAAAGAGAAAGAGAAAUAAGGAUUACUGAAAGUAAUUUUUUUUUAAAAUUAUUUAAAUAAUAAAAUUGUUAAUUAAAAAAAAAGGCUCAAAUAAUCUCAACGUUUGUUAUGAUUAUAUUCAUUUACCCACUGGUAUAUAAAUAUUUAAUGUAUAGGAUCAGGGCCCGAUAGCCCAUAAUUAACUCUUCUGCUUAAAUUGUAUAUGCUCUACUUGUUAGUUGUUAAAUAAUUGGAUGGUCAGCAGUCACCAGAGACCAAAUUUAGGUCUAUCACCCACCAAACAUAUGAUUUUUUAUAAAAUUUUCCAAGGAGAGAAAAUCAAAAGUGCAUGUACCAAAUCUAAGGGAUAAUUUUUCACGAUGUUAGGUGCUCACCCGGUUUUCAUUCUCAUCUGUUCACCUUCUACGGAGACAAAACCUCUUUGCUUUAUUGACUACUACAAUCAUUACAUACCAGUUUUCGGAGAAAGCGCCUACAAUUUUUAUCUUCGAGGGUAGCCAUUCGGAAGAUUGCAUUGUAGUUUGUUCACUCAAAUUUUUAUAAAAUUAUAUUUAUAUCAUGUUCAUGGAUGUCGGAUAUUUGCAUAAAUAUUAAAUUCCUGUUUGUUUAAUGCGUCUAAAGUAAUAAUAAAUAGUUUUUGCUUGACAAUAUUAUUAACGUAGAAUGGUUGCAUAAGAUAAAUAUGGUAUUUUUAGAGGAUAUAAUUUAAAUUACAUGUGUUUAUUUUAGACGUCUAAUAUAUUAUUUUGAAAAUUACAACGAAAUCAAUCAAAUCUAGAACAAUUAAUGUUGUUUUGCCUUGUGAACAAGUCGAAAAGCUCUACUUUUUUUAGUUAUUUUUUAAUGUUAAGUUAUUUUCUUAUUUUUCUUAUUAUUUUUAGGAUUUUUAUUUUUUUUCCUAAAUAUUAGAUUUGCGUACUCUCUAUUUUUGUUUUUCUUAUUUAGAUUAUGAGAAUUUCAUUAUAAAAUAAUAUUUUAGAUUGUCUAUUUUAAUAAAUUCGUAAAAUUUAAAAUUAGUAUAAAAGGGACUCAAAAUCUUAGUUUUAUUCAUUCAAGACUUUUUUUAAUAAAAUAUUCAUUAUUAUAAACUUAAUUUCUCUAAUAUUUUAAUCUUUUAUGUUUCUACAUCAUCAAUUACUAUUUUUUUUCUUUAGUUUUCACCACAAUAUACCAAACAAAACAGAAAAAUGAAUAUAGAAAGUGAAAUUAGAUUACGAUCAAGCCACCUACCACUUUUUUUUUAUAAGUCGCAAAUUUAAUGAUGGACCUAAAGCCCUUAACUUAGGUUAGCCUAUAGGUUAGAACAACAUUUAUAUUAAUCAUAAUUUCACCUUCAACUUGGUUAUAUUUUAUAUUAUGAAUUGCUUUAACUUAUGUUAUUUUUCAAUUUAGACUUUCAAAUGUUGGGGAACCAUGCAUUAGCCCGGUGAUAAAUAACUUUCGACUAUUUCAUGUGUAUUUGUGAAUUCUACCCUCCCUGAAUUCAAUUUUUCUCAGUCCAUACUUAUAAUAUGGCUCUUAAUAAAUAUAAGAGGUUUGUGUAUAUCUCUAAUGGUGAAUAUCAAUAAAUUUAUUAUAUUCAUAUACAGACAAUGUAAUUUUCAUCAAUCCUUUAUAAUAUUACCAGAAACAAUAUCAUUGUUUUAUUCGAAACCCUCCGAAUCUAACCUUGCCAAAUCGUCAAGCUUCGAGUAAGCUAUAGUAUUAAUUAGUAGUUCGACCGGUUGAAUUCACACAUGACAUCGAAAUAACACACACACACACGUGUCUCAUACAUGGGUCAUUAUUCUAGAUAUGAAAGCAUAUUUUGUAGUUAUUGUCUUCUUAAACAAUUAUUGAUUUGGGACAUAUCUAUCAGAUAACAAAUUAAAUUUCUUCAAAUAAGGCUGCUUUUACGUUUCUACUUCUUUUAUUCUUUCUCAAAAUCUUCCGUCAAUUAUGUGAGACUAGUAAAAGCAAGGAAAGAUCAUUGAGCCUCACUUUCUUGUCUAAUUACAAAGUGGUAUAUUAAUUAAUUAUAUUAUAUUAAAAAAAAGAAAACUCUUUGUGGUAAACAUACUAUCCCACUAAACAACAGAUUCUUUAUAUUUUAAAAAAUAAUUAAUUAUCAUGGGAUUAAGAUACAAAUUAAGUAUUUCAACUAUCAAAUUACAAAGUCUUCUGUGUUAGGCACCAUCAAUGAAAGUAAAGCUGAAUUUUGAUACUACAUUACAAAUUCACUAAUAGUUAUUAUCAAAAAAUUGUCAAAUUGCCAUUCUUUUUUUAAAAAGAAAAUUAUCAUUGCAUCACCCUUAUUUUGCUUUAUGUUCAUCCAACCACUACAAAAUUCUAACAUGUACUUUGCACCACCUUUUUUUUUUAUAUUUGUAUCAACUAGCCACUUUUGUAUUAACACUAUUAAAUAAUUUUAAUAAAAUAACAUUUUUACCCCCAAAUAAAUUAAAAGACCAUUUUAUUUUAUAAAAACUAUAAAAACAAAAAAUAUAAUGAUAAAAAUAUCCCUAAAUUUAUUAAAAAUAAAUCCUAAAAUUAGAAUUUUUAUUUUUAAUAAAUCCCAAAAAUAAAUCCCAAAAUUAGAAUUUUAUUUCAAAGUAAAUAUUAUCAAUGAUUCUGAUUCUUCGAUCUAGAAAAUAAAUACAUCAUAAAUAUAAUCUAUAGAAAAAAAAUCAAAUAAUGCAUUUAAUGCGACAUAACAAAUCUUGUAUAUGAACUUUAAUAGGAUAUGAUGUAGAAAUUUCGUCUUUUUCUUUUCUUUUCUUUUUUUAAAGGUUAUCUGCGUUGCACUAUUGUUUCAAAAUACGUUGCUCUCUUUUGAAAAUUUGAAUUGACCAAGUUGUGGGUCACGUUCUCUUAGUCAAUGCACAACCGCUAAAUGCACUGUUGUUUCAGGAAAAAGAAAAUGAAAAAACAAUUAAUCAAUUAUUAGUGGUAGAAAUUUGGUAUCACUUGCCAAGUUGCCACGUGCUAAUGUGACCGCAUCGAUAAUGACAAUAUUAAGUUUACGUCAGUGUGCCCUUUGCUUUGACUCCAAAGGCAUUGACUUUGAUAAUUUUUUGACUGGGCUUCAGCUUAAGCUGAUUUUUGGAUCUGUUUAUUAUCUGAUGGUAAUUUACACUGCACUGCUUGUUGUUUGGUAUAAACAUCUUAUAUGAAUUGUACUUCAUAAAACCCACCUUUCAAGUCCCAAGUGAUUUCGUUUUGCACUGACAACAAGUAUUAGGCUUAUAUUAUCUAAUUUAUCUAUAUUGUUUUUAAAAGGUCGAUGUGGGUAAACUCCUAAAUAUUUUUUUUUAGUCCUAACAUCUUCUUUAAAAUUCAAACAUUAAUGGCUAAAAAUUGAAAGGAAAAAAACUCGAAAACUACUUGAUCAGACUCUUAAAAGUAUCAUUAAAAUAUCAAUUUUAUUUAUGAAAACUUAAAACACUAAAGUGACAUUUUUUUUUUAAGAAAACAUUCAUUAACCAACAUAAAAGUUCACAACCCUAUUUAGAUAUAAAUUAUUACAUGUUCCAUUCAAAAUAAUUUUUCUUAAAAAAUUUAGAUGAAGAUGAGAAACUUCAUAUCAGUAAAUACUAAUCCUUACAUAUCUACAUUGUUAAUUGAGCUAUAUAGAGGGGGUUUCAUCAAAAUCACAAUUAUCAUGCCAACUACCUUUAAAAUUUGUCCAAACAAUUGUUACAUGAUGUAUACAUACAACAUUAUACAUGAGAAAUCAUAAAUGAAUCAUGCAUCAUUAGACAAUAAAGUGCAAAUUAACCCUACUUUUAACUUAUUAUGGUUACACAUAAAAUACAAAUCAAAGCCAAUAUUACAAACUAAAUUUGUAAACUUAUCUCAUAGAAGUAUUAUUCUACAUUUUAGCAUAAUCUAAACUUUAUACCUGCAAGUUUCGAUAAAGUUACACAAUAUUAUCGUAUAAGCAAAAUAUGUCAUAAUAAAGAUACUUACAUAAUAAAUUUAAGGUGGGAUCAACUUAUUUUCAUUUGAUUUUAGUUCUCUUUGUAUUUAUUUAUUUAAUUAUUUGAAUCAACUUGGAUCAAUUCGAAGUUUUUGCCCACCCCUAAAUAGUUAUACCAAUUAUUCAUCAAGAAAUAAAGAAAAAAAUAUAAUGAUUCUAGUUCAUCACAAUUAUUAUUUAUAAUGAGAUGAAUAUUUCAUUAUUGUUGUUGUGUUUGGAAAUAAGAGCAAGAUUUCGGGUCAAAACAUAAAAAAAAAAUUCAACACUUGAUUCAAAUAAAAGAAUAUAUAGGCAAUCUUGAUAGAGCUUAUACCUUCUUUAAAUGAAUUUUUGUUACUCACCGCUCUUAUAUCUAUCCAUUAAUUCAGAUAUAAAGAGCAAAAAUUAGUUUCUUAAAAAAAUAAAAUUAAAUGAGAAGUACAGUUGAAAAUCUUUCUAAGGUGAAAAGAUGAAUUUACGCAUACGGCGUCAGCAUUAUGUAAUGGUCAAAAGCAGUCAAUGGGCUUAUCUGAAAAAAAAAAGAAAAGAAAAGAAAUUAAAUAGACCUAAAGGAUAGAUUUUUACAAACUACAGCGUACAGCCAAACAAGAAGGGCUCUAGUGUAAAUUACCCGUUAUAUAUUUUGAUAUCUGAUUCUUUUCACACGACAAUCACUCAGAUGCCCAGAAGCCGCAGAGCCAAGCGGCUCAAGCAGAAGCUGGCUAGCUGCUAGUUAAAGAAAGCCCAUAUCUAGUUCGAAAAUUACAGAACUGCCCCAUUAUUGAGUUAAUAUCCUCUUCGCUUUCAAGAUUUUGCUUAAGCACAAGACUAAUGGUAAACCUACCACUCCGAGUCCGCUUCUAGUGCAGCCGCCGGCAGGUCCCGCCAAAAUUUGCGAGUUUUGCAUCACCAUUUGCUUUUCACGUUGAUUUUAUAAAUUAAGAAAAAGAAAAAAAGGAUUUACGAUAACAAUGCACGUGAAACAUAAAACAUGGUGUUUAGAAAUUAAAUCUUUGCGCCAUUGAUCUUAAAAAAAAAAAAAUUCACCGAACCUAAUAAUUAAUAACUACAUUAAAGGAGAUUUCAUAUAAAUAUAAUUUUAUAUAAAAUUUUGGUAAAAUAUUUUCUUUGCAGGACCCACGUGUAAUGAUACUUGAUUUAGUUGAUCCGUGGUGGAAACAUUUACACACUUUAAGUUGACUGAUCGAAGACGAAGAAUCAUUACUUUCUCAGUGGCAGUGGCACGCAUGUAAUUAUAAAUGUUUACAAUGUCAUUUUAGUUUCUCGGGACCUUACUUAUAACCUCGGAGAAGGCGAUCUAUUCGAACAACAAAAUCUCAAAUGCCCGUUGCUUCCUAUCUUCUUCUUUCCCGGCAAUAAAAUACUAAACCAACCUGAGAAACUAACUGAAACAAUCCGAAAUGUCAAAAGUAGCCUCCGCAUUUCCAAAAAUACCAGUCACUCUGAUUCUCCUUGUUCUUCUGUCAAUACCCUUCGAAGUAAUUCCCCAAAGCCCAAACACUGAAGAACAAACGACCCUCCUGAACCUCAAACAACAACUGGGCGAUCCACCGUCUCUCCAGUCCUGGACCUCCACGUCAUCACCCUGUGAUUGGCCGGAAAUUACCUGUACCUUUAAUUCGGUCACCGGAAUUUCGCUCCGAAACAAAGGCAUCACCCAAAAAAUCCCGCCAAUAAUCUGCGACCUGAAAAACUUAACCACUAUCGACCUUGCCAAUAACUCCAUUCCUGGUGAGUUCCCAGAAUUCCUUUACAACUGCACAAAGCUUCAAAACCUUGACCUGUCUCAAAACUAUUUCGUGGGUCCGAUACCAUCCGAUAUUGACCGAAUUUCGGGUCUCCAAUGCAUAGACCUGGGAAGCAACAACUUUUCGGGCGACAUACCUCCGAGUAUCGGCCGAUUAUCGGAGUUGCAGACGUUGUACCUCUAUAUGAACGAGUUCAAUGGCACGUUUCCGAAAGAGAUCGGAGACCUGUCCAAUUUAGAAGUUCUGGGUUUAGCCUAUAAUAGCAAUUUUAAGCCUGCAAGGAUCCCAAUUGAAUUUGGAAUGUUAAAGAAGUUGAAGACUUUGUGGAUGACCGAAGCGAACUUGAUAGGCGAGAUUCCGGAAGCUAUGAGCAAUCUGUCAAGUCUUGAAAUCCUGGCAUUGUAUGGUAAUCACCUGGAGGGUACUAUUCCUAGCGGGCUGUUUUUGUUAAACAACCUGACCCAGUUGUUUCUUUAUGAUAAUAUACUUUCUGGUGAGAUACCAAGUUCAGUUGAAGCUUUGAAAUUGACUGAUAUUGAUCUUUCAAUGAACAAUUUAACCGGUUCAAUUCCAGAAGAGUUUGGCAAGUUAAAGAAUUUGCAACUGUUGGGCCUUUUUUCUAAUCAGUUAUCAGGAGAGGUGCCAGCAAGUAUAGGUAAAAUUCCUGCACUGAAAAAAUUUAAGGUGUUUAAUAAUAAUUUGAGUGGAGUUUUGCCACCAGAAAUUGGCCUUCAUUCCGCGCUUGAAGGAUUUGAGGUGUCAACUAAUCAAUUCAGCGGACCGUUGCCAGAAAAUUUAUGUGCUGGUGGUGUUUUGCAAGGGGUGGUGGCUUUCGAAAAUAAUCUCAGUGGGGCGGUUCCAAAAUCGCUUGGAAAUUGUAGGACUCUGAGAACUGUUCAGCUUUACAGCAACAGAUUUUCUGGUGAGCUUCCUACCGGUCUUUGGACAACUUUCAAUCUGUCAAGCUUGAUGCUGAGUGACAAUACGAUUUCUGGAGAGUUACCAAGAAAAACGGCGUGGAAUUUGACAAGAUUGGAGAUCAGUAACAAUCGGUUUUCAGGUCAAAUUCAACGUGGAGUUGGGUCUUGGAAGAACUUGAUUGUUUUCAAGGCAAGCAACAAUCUUUUCUCUGGUGAAAUUCCGGUUGAGUUGACUAGUCUUUCUCAUCUCAAUACUCUACUGCUUGACGGCAAUAAGCUUUCAGGCAAAUUGCCAUCCCAGAUAGUCUCUUGGACUUCACUGAAUAAUUUGAAUCUCGCUAGAAAUGAACUUUCUGGUGAAAUUCCUAAGGCUAUUGGGUCUUUGCUUGUCAUGGUCUCCUUAGACUUGUCAGGGAACCAGUUCUCAGGUGAAAUUCCGCCUGAAAUUGGCCACUUGAAGCUUAACACUUUUAACUUAUCCUCCAACAGACUUUAUGGGAAUAUCCCAGAUGAGUUCAAUAACCUUGCAUAUGAUGAUAGUUUUCUGAACAAUUCCAAUCUCUGUGUGAAAAAUCCAAUCAUAAACCUUCCAAAAUGUCCCUCAAGAUUCCGC
rnacentral:lncRNA from 1 species